rnacentral:rRNA from 1 species
CCUACGGGAGGCAGCAGUAGGGAAUAUUGCUCAAUGGGGGAAACCCUGAAGCAGCAACGCAGCGUGGAGGAUGAAGGUUUUCGGAUUGGAAACUCCUUUUGUUAGAGGAGAAAAUGACGGUAUGUAACGAAUAAGCACCGGCUAAUUCCUUGCCAGCAGCCGCGGUAAUACGGAGGGUGCAAGCGUUACUCGGAAUAACUGGGCGGAAAGGGGGCGUAGGCGGGAUAGCAAGUCAGAUGUGAAAUCCUAUGGCUUAACCGUAGAACUGCAUUUGAAACUGUUAUUCUAGAGUAUGGGAGAGGUAAGUGGAAUUCUUGGUGUAGGGGUAAAAUGCGUAGAGAUCACGAAGAAUUCUCAUUGCGAAGGCGACCUGCUAGAACAUAACUGACGCUGAUGCGCGAAAGCGUGGGGAGCAAACAGGAUUAGAUACCCGAGUAGUC